GAUGAACGCUGGCGGCGUGCCUAAUACAUGCAAGUCGAGCGAACAGACGAGGAGCUUGCUCCUCUGACGUUAGCGGCGGACGGCUGAGUAACACGUGGAUAACCUACCUAUAAGACUGGGAUAACUUCGGGAAACCGGAGCUAAUACCGGAUAAUAUAUUGAACCGCAUGGUUCAAUAGUGAAAGACGGUUUUGCUGUCACUUAUAGAUGGAUCCGCGCCGCAUUAGCUAGUUGGUAAGGUAACAGCUUACCAAGGCAACGAUGCGUAGCCGACCUGAGAGGGUGAUCGGCCACACUGGAACUGAGACACGGUCCAGACUCCUACGGGAGGCAGCAGUAGGGAAUCUUCCGCAAAGGGCGAAAGCCUGACGGAGCAACGCCGCGUGAGUGAUGAAGGUCUUCGGAUCGUAAAACUCUGUUAUUAGGGAAGAACAAAUGUGUAAGUAACUAUGCACGUCUUGACGGUACCUAAUCAGAAAGCCACGGCUAACUACGUG
rnacentral:rRNA from 1 species